GUGAUUGUGGUUUAAUGGUCAGCAUAGUUGCCUUCCAAGCAGUUGAUCCGGGUUCGAUUCUCGGCCGUCCCU
rnacentral:tRNA from 1 species